UACGUAGGGUGCGAGCGUUAAUCGGAAUUACUGGGCGUAAAGCGUGCGCAGGCGGUGCGCCAAGCUCGAUGUGAAAGCCCCGGGCUCAACCUGGGAAUGGCGAUGGAUACUGGCGGGCUAGAGUGCGGUAGAGGGUGGUGGAAUUCCCGGUGUAGCAGUGAAAUGCGUAGAGAUCGGGAGGAACAUCAGUUGCGAAGGCGGCCACCUGGACCAGCACUGACACUGAGGCACGAAAGCGUGGGGAGCAAACAGG
rnacentral:rRNA from 1 species